CUUCACAAAGACACAGGAUGAGUCAAGAAUGAAUGAUAGGGGUUUAACAGGCCGAUGGGGAAAGUGGACAUGACUCCUCCAGCUAUCAAAUUAGACGAUGCUGCCAUGUUAAUUCUCCAAACGAGAAACAAAAGUGUAAUAGAGAAAAAGGUAAUAUUUAAGCCUGAAGUUUAAACUUUCUUUGAGAUCCACUCUGAAGAUUUAUUAAUUUCUUGGGGUUUGUGCUGCAUUCUGCCCCUGGCUCCCACCAUGUAUCCAUGAGGCAUGCAUGUUAAUAAACUUCUGUUUGAUUU
rnacentral:lncRNA from 1 species